rnacentral:rRNA from 1 species
CUAACACAUGCAAGUCGAGGGGUAACAGGGGGCUUGCUCCCGCUGACGACCGGCGCACGGGUGAGUAACGCGUAUGCAACCUGCCUUCAACAAGGGGAUAACCCGUUGAAAAACGGACUAAUACCCUAUAAAACAGGGGUUCCGCAUGGGACUAUUUGUUAAAGAUUUAUCGGUUGAAGAUGGGCAUGCGUUCCAUUAGCUAGUUGGCGGGGUAACGGCCCACCAAGGCAACGAUGCGAUAGGGGAACUGAGAGGUUUAUCCCCCACACUGGUACUGAGACACGGACCAGACUCCUACGGGAGGCAGCAGUGAGGAAUAUUGGUCAAUGGACGCAAGUCUGAACCAGCCACGUCGCGUGAAGGAAGACGGCCCUAUGGGUUGUAAACUUCUUUUAUACGGGAAUAAAGUGCACCACGUGUGGUGUUUUGCAUGUACCGUAUGACUAAGGAUCGGCUAACUCCGUGCCAGCAGCCGCGGUAAUACGGAGGAUCCGAGCGUUAUCCGGAUUCAUUGGGUUUAAAGGGUGCUCAGGCGGGAUCUUAAGUCGGCGGUGAAAUUUUGCGGCUCAACCGUAAAAGUGCC